UACGGUGAAUACGUUCCCGGACCUUGCACACACCGCCCCGUCAAGCCAUGGAAGCCGGGUGUACCUAAAGUCGGUAACCGUAAGGGAGCCGCCUAGGGUAAAACUGGUGACUGGGGCU
rnacentral:rRNA from 1 species